rnacentral:rRNA from 1 species
UACAUGGGGUGCAAACGUUGCUCGGAAUUACUGGGCGUAAAGAGCUCGUAGGCGGCCUGUUGCGUCCGCUGUGAAAGCCCGGGGCUUAACCCCGGGUCGGCAGUGGAUACGGGCAGGCUAGAGGUAGGUAGGGGAGAAUGGAAUUCCCGGUGUAGCGGUGAAAUGCGCAGAUAUCGGGAGGAACACCGGUGGCGAAGGCAGAUCUCUGGGCCGUAACUGACGCUGAGAAGCGAAAGCGUGGGGAGCGAACAGG